rnacentral:rRNA from 1 species
AUUGAACGCUGGCGGCAGGCCUAACACAUGCAAGUCGAACGAGUGGCGGACGGGUGAGUAAUGUAUGGGAAACUGCCCGAUGGAGGGGGAUAACUACUGGAAACGGUAGCUAAUACCGCAUACCAUCGGAUGUGCCCAGAUGGGAUUAGCUAGUAGGUGGGGUAAUGGCUCACCUAGGCAACGAUCCCUAGCUGGUCUGAGAGGACGACGAGCCACACUGGACCUGAGACACGGUCCAGACUCCUACGUGAGGCAGCAGUGAGGAAUCUUGCACAAUGGGGGCAAUCCUGAUGCAGCCAUGCCGCGUGUAUGAAGAAGGCCUUCGGGUUGUAAAGUACUUUCAGCGGGGAGGCGUUACUCGCAGAAGAAGCACCGGCUAACUCCGUGCCAGCCGCCGCGGUAAUAC